rnacentral:rRNA from 1 species
CACGUAGGGGACGAGCGUUGUCCGGAUUCAUUGGGCGUAAAGCGCGCGUAGGCGGCUCGGAAAGUCGGUCGUGAAAUGCCGGGGCUCAACCCCGGGACUGCGUCCGAUACUCCCGAGCUGGAGGCAGGUAGGGGAGAUCGGAAUUCCUGGUGUAGCGGUGAAAUGCGCAGAUAUCAGGAGGAACACCGGUGGCGAAGGCGGAUCUCUGGGCCUUACCUGACGCUGAGGAACGAAAGCUAGGGGAGCGAACGGG